rnacentral:rRNA from 1 species
AGUGAACGCUGGCGGUAGGCCUAACACAUGCAAGUCGAACGGCAGCACAGUAAGAGCUUGCUCUUACAGGUGGCGAGUGGCGGACGGGUGAGGAAUACAUCGGAAUCUACUUUUUCGUGGGGGAUAACGUAGGGAAACUUACGCUAAUACCGCAUACGACCUACGGGUGAAAGCAGGGGAUCUUCGGACCUUGCGCGAUUGAAUGAGCCGAUGUCGGAUUAGCUAGUUGGCGGGGUAAAGGCCCACCAAGGCGACGAUCCGUAGCUGGUCUGAGAGGAUGAUCAGCCACACUGGAACUGAGACACGGUCCAGACUCCUACGGGAGGCAGCAGUGGGGAAUAUUGGACAAUGGGCGCAGGCCUGAUCCAGCCAUACCGCGUGGGUGAAGAAGGCCUUCGGGUUGUAAAGCCCUUUGUUGGGAAAGAAAAGCAGCAGGUUAAUACCCCGCUGUUCUGACGGUACCCAAAGAAUAAGCACCGGCUAACUUCGUG